AAAUUGAAGAGUUUGAUCAUGGCUCAGAUUGAACGCUGGCGGCAGGCCUAACACAUGCAAGUCGAACGGUAACAGGAAGCAGCUUGCUGCUUUGCUGACGAGUGGCGGACGGGUGAGUAAUGUCUGGGAAACUGCCUGAUGGAGGGGGAUAACUACUGGAAACGGUGGCUAAUACCGCAUAACGUCGCAAGACCAAAGAGGGGGAUCUUCGGGCCUCUUGCCAUCAGAUGUGCCCAGAUGGGAUUAGCUAGUUGGUGAGGUAACGGCUCACCAAGGCGACGAUCCCUAGCUGGUCUGAGAGGAUGACCAGCCACACUGGAACUGAGACACGGUCCAGACUCCUACGGGAGGCAGCAGUGGGGAAUAUUGCACAAUGGGCGCAAGCCUGAUGCAGCCAUGCCGCGUGUAUGAAGAAGGCCUUAGGGUUGUAAAGUACUUUCAGCGGGGAGGAAGGUGUUGUGGUUAAUAACC
rnacentral:rRNA from 1 species